GUGCUUAUUUCAACAGCACAUAUACUAAAAUUGGGAUGAUACAGAGAAGCAUGGCUCCUGAGCAAGGAUGACACACAAAUUUGUGAAGCAUUCCAUAUUUUG